GCUUCAGCAGCCGCGACAUCUGCCUCGCCGCGGUCCGACCGAAGCCUCUGGAGGCGCCGGUGAUGACGCACAAGGCCCGGCCGAGGUCCGGGGCGCGCUCGGUGGACGACAUGGUUCUGGAGCCGCAGAGAGGGACCGCACAGAGUUUCCCAUUUCCACGUCUUUGCUGCGGAGCUCGUGUCGGGACAAGAACUCCACGAUGCCGGCGCCGAUCGAGUCCCCCAGAACAUUGGUGGUGGUGCGGAGACGGUCCCUGCAUCCCCGCGGGAAAACAGAGGGAACGAAAAGGCUUGAAAAGAUACUGUGUUCACGAUGUUGCAGGCUACUCACAGAAACCAAUCGACUGCAAUGAUGAGAGUGAUGUCGUCAGUCGGAAGUCCAACAGAGACACUUGAAGGUGACGGGGAGCGUCGCUGAGCUGGGAGAGGAAAGAACCAACACAGGGGAUGAUAGUGAUUGACUUGUUGAGGAGUGGUGGUGUUGGACAGGACUCACCUGGACGAGGUUCCCAGGGCGGUGACCAGAGCCUGCAGCAGCCCAGCAAUGAAGAUGAAGGGGUUCUGCCGGGUGAUGACGAAAUAAAGAGUGGGAAGAAUAAGAACACCGUGGAUCAGCAAGCCAAUGAUGACGGUGAUGGUGUACAUGCCCAGCUGGCCACCCAUCUGUGUUAGAUCAUCCAUCUCCACUAUCUUUCCAGCUAUGAGGAACAGAAUACCGAUAGGAGCAUACCUGAGGGGAGGAGAGGAAAGGCUGCAACGACAAAGACGCCGAUCCAACGACGUCAUAUGUUUUCCAUGGAGCGUGCAGAGGAAGAUGCUCACCUACAACAACUGCCGCAACUGUGAAGAGCACGAAAGCGUUCUUCUUGAGGAAAGCCUUGAUGUCCUCUUUAGAGAUCUCCUCCACUUUCCUCUUUGCCUUCAUGCUGGAGGUGGAGGCAGAAUCUCUAACCUGGAACAAUAAAACCAAAACUACGUACAGAUCCAUUUCUUUUGUGAUUUAGAACAAAAGGACAGGUUCUGUCAUCACGUACCUCUUUGAGCUGGUGGUUGCUCUUCAGUAAACUCUGAUGACGGUCGAGCUGACGGGCCUGAGGUGGAGCAGCCGAGCUGAGUCGCAGGAGGAGGAGCAGGUGUUUGGUCGGAUUCAGGAGGUCGGAGCGACUGGGAGAUGGAAAGUGAAGAGCUCUCUCUCCUGCACCUACACUGUAAUUGGAAAAGAAAGGAGGGGAGACAUCCAGAAGAGAGACGGAGAGGAGGGAGGGGAGCGAGACUGAGAGGACAAAUUAGAAAAUGGUUUUCCCAUAAUAACACUGUUAGCCCUGUGACACAGUUCCAGGUGAAACCCAGAUGCAUGAAAAACUUCUAGGAGAGUUGGAAUGAUAAUCAUCAUAAAAUGAUCUUCUUGGGGAAGGAAACAUCUAAGAUUAGAUCUUCUUCUCUUCUCAUUCUCUCCUGGUUUAUUUUUCCUCAUCUGUUUGUUUUCCUUUGUAUUUUUUUUUUUGACACUUUCUUUGUUUCCUGGAGUCUGAACGUUGUAGAUUCACAGAUUUGUUUCUGGCAUUAAACAAUAACGAAGCCGAACUGAUACGCAUCGCCUCACUGGGGAAGUGUUAUAGUUUAAGGUAAUUCCACAGAGUGAGGGACACGCGCCACAAUUAGCUGACAAAAGUAGAACUUGUGCUGUGACCUUACCGUGUGGAAACAUAUUCCCCUGCGCUGUGGAAUAGAAUAAGGGAAGAAUAUCCCUCAAACCAGGUCACGUAGCCUUUUACAAACACUAUUCCCCGGUCACUCGGAUGAAUGAAAUAUACCUGUAGACGUCUGAUAGCGAAACAAACGAUCUUAGAAGUGCAGACUUCUGCCGAUUUUUAGACUUAGGUCUUUAGAGCCUUUGGUUUAUUUCUCAAUCUGCCUGUUUACAUCCAAAAAUUUGAUGAGCUGUGAUGAGCUAAAGGUUUUACAACCCCUAUAACCUCAUCUCAUUACAUUACAUUACAUUGUCCAAAGUGAUUUACAAUAAGUGCGUCAACCAUGAAGAAAUGACCUAAAGUUCUCCAUUUUAGAAUUUUUUGCAGGAGUGGGUUGUCACUGUGAUGUUGGCAGCGAAGGACGGCUGGUCGUCCAGUGUCCCUCCGUGCAGUCUGAGCGGGAGUCACCUGGGUUUCAGAUUGUGGAAAGAACUAAAUGAGUUGGGUGUCAUCUGCAUAGCUAUGGUUGGAAAAGCCAUGCGAGUGAAUAACGGAGCUCUAAUGACCUGGUGUACAGAGAGAAGAGGAUUGGGCCCAGGACGGAGCCCUGAGGGACCCCAGUAGUGAGGUCACAGGGUUCAGACACAGAUCUGAGAUCAAAUCUGUUUGACGCCCACGUUCUAAUUCAGUGAUAACAUGGCACACUGGUGUUACAGGAAGUAUGUGGAUGCUCUGUUGCAACACUCCUUCCUCCAGCACUGGAAAGAGGAAAUUAAACAUUCAAUGCGAAGGAAAGCAUGAAUGCAAUGACCUGAGCUCCUCUUCAGUCUCUGUAAUGUUUUUAAUUGUAGCGUUAAAUGACUUCAGAGCCACGGGGCAUAUAGAUGUUUUGUCCUAUUAAUGGGAAACAUGAGGGUGAAAUUCGUUUUUUCAAAUUUUAACAAAGCGAGAAACUGAUUUCACCAACAUUACCUCAUGAGGUUUACUGAGGUCGUUCAGAUUCUACUCCUCAUAAUGUGUCGUAAGCUGCUGAUGUUGUCAGUCUGUGCUUUAUUUAAAAAAAUCUUCAGUCCCUGGAGCUAAUUUCCAACCUUUUUGUUUCAUCCCACUGGAUGCUACAGUUGUUAAGUGUGAUAAUCUUACAAAUUACCAGACAUCACUACUUGUGUCAUCACUGAAACACAAAAGUUCUUCUGACCUCUACUGGCUUCACAUGUAUGUGGGGGGAUUCCACAGUAGUAACAGGUCAUGGAUUUACAACUACAUUAAAGAGGUUAUGUCGACCUGUUGUAUCAGAUCUGUACCUCACUAUGUAAAGAGCCUUGAGAUAAUAUAUGUUGUGAUUUGGCACAAUACUAAUAAAUUUGAAUUGAAUUUAAA